rnacentral:rRNA from 1 species
CCUACGGGAGACAGCAGUAGGGAAUCUUCCACAAUGGGCGAAAGCCUGAUGGAGCAACGCCGCGUGGGUGAAGAAGGUCUUCGGAUCGUAAAACCCUGUUGUUAGAGAAGAAAGUGCGUGAGAGUAACUGUUCACGUUUCGACGGUAUCUAACCAGAAAGCCACGGCUAACUACGUGCCAGCAGCCGCGGUAAUACGUAGGUGGCAAGCGUUAUCCGGAUUUAUUGGGCGUAAAGGGAACGCAGGCGGUCUUUUAAUUCUGAUGUGAAAGCCUUCGGCUUAACCGGGGUAGUGCAUUGGAAACUGGGAGACUGGAGUGCAGGAGAGGAGGGUGGAACUCCAUGUGGAGCGGUGAAAUGCGUAGGUAUAUGGAAGAACACCAGUGGCGAAAGCGGCUCUCUGGGCUGUAAAUGACGCUGAGGGUCGAAAGCGUGGGUAGCAAACAGGAUUAGAUACCCUUGUAGUC